GCGCAGCAGGCGAGAAUACUUCACAAUGUGCGAAAGCACGAUGAGGGAAUCCCAAGUGCUUGCACGUAAGUGUAAGCUGUUUCUCUGUCUAAAACGCAGAGAGAGUAAGGGCUGGGUAAGACGGGUGCCAGCCGCCGCGGUAAUACCUGCAGCUCGAGUGGUGACCGUUAUUAUUGGGCCUAAAACGUCCGUAGCCGGUUAAUAAAUGCCUGGGUAAAUCGGACCGCUUAACGGUUCGAA
rnacentral:rRNA from 1 species